rnacentral:rRNA from 1 species
AAUGAACGCUGGCGGCGUGCCUAACACAUGCAAGUUGAGCGGUAAGGCCCCUUCGGGGGUACACGAGCAGCGAACGGGUGAGUAUCGCGUGGGUAAUCUACCUAGAGGUGGGGGAUAGCCUCGGGAAACCGAGGGUAAUACCGCAUGAGUUCUCGACGACACAAGUCGACGAGGGGAAAGGCGGGGCUCCUUCGGGACCUGUCGCCUCUGGAUGAGCCCGCGUCCGAUUAGCUUGUUGGUGAGGUAAUGGCUCACCAAGGCAACGAUCGGUAGCCGGCCUGAGAGGGUGAACGGCCACAUUGGGACUGAGACACGGCCCAGACUCCUACGGGAGGCAGCAGUGGGGAAUAUUGGGCAAUGGGGGAAACCCUGACCCAGCGACGCCGCGUGGAGGAUGACGGCCUUCGGGUUGUAAACUCCUGUCAGGUGGGAAGAAAAGCCAGUCGGAUAAUACCCGGCAGGAAUUGACGGUACCACCAAAGGAAGCCCCGGCUAACUCCGUG